UCAUUGGACAGAUAAAGUCUACUCCCCAAAGUAGAUGCUCGAUGAUGCACAUGAAGUCCUGCGUAAAGAUUCAAAGAUGUCUUCUCAGUCAAAGAUCUUCAGAUGUACAUGUAGAUUUUCAGAUCUUUGUUCAUAUUGGCUGACCAUUAAACAGUCAGCGUCAGCGGAGAUAGAGUACAUCUGUGAAGGAUGAAGCAUUUGGACAACUUUACCAACUUCAAAGGGUAAAAUACCAAAGUUAAUAUUCUUUAUCCCUGAUGCAAAUUUAAAUAUUAUUCAGUGGUAACACACAUCAGUGUAAAUUGUCCUCAUCAUUCAAUAUCAUUGGCGUUUUGUUAAAAAUGCAACCACCAGGUAGUUGGUGUUGAUUUAAAACAUUUGUUUGUCAAAAACCACAUCAUACAUCUGUAAUAAAAAAGAAAUAUCCACCCGCAGUCUUAUUUUUGGGAACUUUUUUAAGCAUCUUGAGUCAUCCUUUGAAAUUAUCAUUGCAAAAACGAAAUCCAUGACUCGAAACUGGAAAAUGGCUUUACUAACUGUUGAAGUCUUACAAGUAUAGAUGAUUGAGACUUUAGACCAACUUGAAGCUAGUCAACAGUCCAUACACUGCAUCAUUAAGUUUCACACAAACAGUAUUUUAUAUCUUUUAAAAAUGUGUUCGGUGUGCACUUUGAUUUUGUUUCAAUCACAAAUUAUAUUGCAUUUUAUGUUGAAACCCAAAGUUCCUAAAAAUGCUUUGAUGUUUGAUAUUUACAUUGAUGAUCUGUUGAUAUUUAAGACAACUUGUUUAACCUUUUUUUUCUUCAUUCAUUCUUUUUUGUACCAUCUACAUGGUUCCUCAUUUGAUGUUGGCAACAAUCUACCGUGGCGAGUCAAUCAACUUUGAAGAUCAACUAAUCGAGACAGAGAGUGGCAGAUCUCCAUUCAAGUUCAAGGCCAUCAUCAGUGGAGAUGCAGUGUUGGUCAACAGUAAUUUAGUGUUUGUAGCUUUGAAUUGUUCUACUUGUAUCUGGGAUGGAUCUGAAGGUUUAAUAUAAUAUCACCAAGAUAAUGAAGGCUUUUCUUGAAAGAGCAUCAUUGUCUGCAAGAUUGAAAUGUGCACAUCCUGAGUGGUGAAUCAUUCAUACUUUCCUUGUGUGGUGAUCUACCUAUACUUACCA